rnacentral:rRNA from 1 species
UACGAAGGGGGGCUAGCGUUGCUCGGAAUCACUGGGCGUAAAGGGUGCGUAGGCGGGUCUUUAAGUCAGAGGUGAAAUCCUGGAGCUCAACUCCAGAACUGCCUUUGAUACUGAAGAUCUUGAGUUCGGGAGAGGUGAGUGGAACUGCGAGUGUAGAGGUGAAAUUCGUAGAUAUUCGCAAGAACACCAGUGGCGAAGGCGGCUCACUGGCCCGAUACUGACGCUGAGGCACGAAAGCGUGGGGAGCAAACAGGG